GAACAGUGUUAUCCUUAACAUACUUGAUUUCACAUAGUAGUAACUAUAAAAUGGUGUGUGUGUGAACACUUGCAAUUUCUUUCAACAUUGAGCAGGAUAGACAGCGAGUGAGAGGAAGAAAUCAAAGACCUUGUGGACAAGGGCCCUGUCAGAGAGGUGGGCAUGGGCCCCGUCAGAGAGAUGGGCCCAAUCAGAGGUCAAAGAGGUGGACAUCAGAGAGAGGGACGCAGACUGCAGGGAACUGUUGUGUCUAAUGAAGUCCGGGCCAUCGUCGUUGACCAUGUGGUAAACUGAGGCCUUACCAUGGCAGAGGCUGCCAGAUUAGUUCACCCCAAUCUGAAACGAUCAACUGUCAAUUCGAUCAUGAGAACAUUCCGGCAAGAAAACUGAAUUGAUAGAAGACCCCAUGGUGGUGGCCAUGUGCCGACCGACCAGCAGUGUUGGAAAUGGUGAGGGCCAGGAAUAACAUUUGUCUGUCCGAAAUAAAGCAGGCCAUUUGAGGAGAACGAUGACACCUUUGCCAAUGUGGCAUCCACCAGCCUACCAACAAUCACCUGCCUUUUUGAAGAGGCACCAGGUCGCAGUUGCAAAUGAGAACUGGUUCUCAACUAGCCUACCUGGUUAAAUAAAGUGGGUGAUUGUGCUUGAUGCUGCUGUGAACCAUCACAAGUUUAUCUUUAUUGAUGAAGCGGGCUUCAACCUGGACAAAACUCAGCGCCGUGGGCGAAAACCUCAUCGGCCAAUGGGUGACCGCCGUGUGCCGCCCAAUGUGGGGGAAACAUCUCCAUGUGCACCGCUAUCUCUGAAGACGGUGUGGUAGGACGUAGGGCAUUACUUGGAUCCUGCAACGCUGCACACCUCAUUGUGUUUCUCAAUGAAAUUGAGCAAGCCUGUCAAAGGUGACGGGGUCACCUAUGUCAUCGUGUGGGCCCAUCCCCGAUUCGUGACCCUAUACCUGCUCCGAUACUCUCCUUUCAGCAUGGAGAUGGAAGGUGUACGAUCGCCAUCCCCACCUUCCGUAUGGCCAUGGAUGAGGCAUGCGAUGACUUCAUUGAAGAUUAGAUUCGCCAUGCCAAAAGGUUUUUCCCUUUUCCCGUGGUGCAUGAAUGAUGAGGACUUUUACUGUGAUGUGGAUGAGAAUUUAUGGCCAAAUGCUCAAGACAGGCUUGAUGCAAAUUAAUGCAUGCUAAAUGUUUUAUUUUAAUUUAAUUGGUUUAAUUUAACAUUUCAUUCGACAGUACACCUAACAAAACAAAUGCUUUAUUUUUCAGAUAUAAUUGGAUGAAUGAUUGUAGAGGAUGUCUUCAUUGAUCACACAUUGGAUAGAUUCUGUUGAAAUGAUAGAUUUUCAGAAAAUUGUUGGGUAAUGUAGGUGUAUUGCAUAAUGUGAUCUACUGUAAUUUACAGAACUGUAGCAUAUUACUUUCAGCAUUUCUAAGGGCGAUUUGAAACAACUCAAUUAAAAACAUAUUGUUGUGUUUUGGUGAUUAAACCAAUG